AGAGCGAUUUGUCUGGUUGAUUCCGUUAACGAACGAGACCACAGCCUACUAAAUAGAGCGCAUUAUGUUAACAUAGUGUGAUACUUCUUAGAGGGACAUUUCGGGUUUACCGAAAGGAAGUUUGUGGCAAUAACAGGUCUGUGAUGCCCUUAGAUGUUCUGGUCCGCACGCGCGCUACACUGACGACUUCAACAAGUUUUUUCUUUGAAAAAGUCCUUGGCUGGAAAGUCUGGGUAAUCUUUUAAACGGUCGUCGUGAUGGGGCUAGAUUCUUGCAAUUAUUAAUCUCCAACGAGGAACC
rnacentral:rRNA from 1 species